CCUACGGGAGGCUGCAGUGGGGAAUAUUGGGCAAUGGGCGCAAGCCUGACCCAGCAACGCCGCGUGAAGGAAGAAGGCUUUCGGGUUGUAAACUUCUUUUCUGAGGGACGAAGAAAGUAACGUUACCUCAGCAAUAAGCCACGGCUAACUACGUGCCAGCAGCCGCGGUAAUACGUAGGUGGCAAGCGUUAUCCGGAUUUAUUGGGUGUAAGGGGCGUGUAGGCGGGAAGGCAAGUCAGAUGUGAAAACUCAGGGCUCAACCCUGAGACUGCAUUUGAAACUGGUUUUCUUGAGUGCUGGAGAGGCAAUCGGAAUUCCGGGUGUAGCGGUGAAAUGCGUAGAUAUACGGAGGAACACCAGUGGCGAAGGCGGAUUGCUGGACAGUAACUGACGCUGAGGCGCGAAAGCGUGGGGAGCAAACAGGAUUAGAUACCCUAGUAGUC
rnacentral:rRNA from 1 species